UCCUAAGCUCCAUAUCUUAGGCAGCAAAAAAUAGUUUCAAGAGCAUAGGAACCGAAAAUGUAAGUAAACCCUCCAUUAUCUUGUAAUUCAUUCUUACAUCAAUGGAUCAACGAUAAAUCGGAAUGAUCGGUUAGAUUUUCUUCAAAAACCGUUGAUUUUGAUCAGCAAACUGUUGAUCCGGACAAUUAACUCGACUUGACAGUACGGUCGCGGAGGUAUGGAUCGAGCACCUCCCGGCAUACCAUACCAAUGUACUCGUGGGGUUUUAGGGUUUGACCGAUGUCGACGACCACAUCGGAUGGGGAGAUCAUCUUCAUCUUAGUGACCCAACGGUCGAUAAUGUCAAGCGGGAGGUCGAACUCUCCGAUCAUGCAGAGCGGAAUAUCACCGCCGAAUGGCUUGCAGUUGUCCAGCUUCCGUUCGAUGAGGUAAGUUUCAAUGCCGCCCUUCGCUAGCGCCUCAGCAGCCAAGCCACCUGUCGGGCCUCCCCCAAUAACGGCUACUCAGAGGUUGCGACCAGAGAGUUUGGGGCUGGAUUUGCUAGCUAAGAUACGGAAUCUGCGGGGAUUUGGUUUGGAUGAGAGAAAUUUAGUUAGGGAGAGGGAAUGGUGAUUCUCUAAUGUAGUUUUCCGGAGGCCAACGAAGCUAUUAAGGGUAGCGCGUCGGAAAUGGGUGGUUUUCUGGUCACAAUUGGCGGUGGUGGUGGAAAAUGGGGAGUUGAUGGCAGUAGAGGACGCCAUCCUUGCUGGCCUCUGGCCUGGUAUCUGAAGUCUGAACUCUGAACAGAAAUUUGAAGAAAUACAAAGGGAGGAAGCUCUACAACUAUCACCAAAGCCUCCUCAGAAAAGAAGUUGGAGGGGCAGUAUAGUAGCACCUUUUACUGGGAACAAUAUGCUGGUAUUGUACAGCUGUCCGGCCAACAAUUCAAGCAAUUAUUUUGUACAAGUACUACAUAAUGAAGUUCUAGUUCCAAUGCCGGAUGAUCUCUCUAUUGAGGAGUGGAGGCUAGUUGUGAAACUCAAGAAUAUAUUCAGAAUGUCGGGGCAGCUAAUUCUAUGCUUUGUAAGCUCCAUAGUUCCUAUUCAAAAAGAAUAGUCGUGUUGGCGUAAAGAGGAGAGAGAAAACUGGCUUAUUUGUUAUUUUUUAUAUUUGUUUAAUGGUGGGAGUAACUGAAACACCAUUUGGUAGCAAGAAAUAGUUGUAUUUGCAUUGAUGGAAAUGCCAAACAUCCACAAAAUUGUUUUUUUAUUUGCGUCUUUCAAAACA